GUACACUCCUACGGGAGGCAGCAGUGGGGAAUUUUGGACAAUGGGCGAAAGCCUGAUCCAGCAAUGCCGCGUGAGUGAAGAAGGCCUUCGGGUUGUAAAGCUCUUUUGUCAGGGAAGAAACGGUGAGAGCUAAUAUCUCUUGCUAAUGACGGUACCUGGAGAAUAAGCACCGGCUAACUACGUGCCAGCAGCCGCGGUAAUACGUAGGGUGCAAGCGUUAAUCGGAAUUACUGGGCGUAAAGCGUGCGCAGGCGGUUUUGUAAGUCUGAUGUGAAAUCCCCGGGCUCAACCUGGGAAUUGCAUUGGAGACUGCAAGGCUAGAAUCUGGCAGAGGGGGGUAGAAUUCCACGUGUAGCAGUGAAAUGCGUAGAUAUGUGGAGGAACACCGAUGGCGAAGGCAGCCCCCUGGGUCAAGAUUGACGCUCAUGCACGAAAGCGUGGGGAGCAAACAGGAUUAGAAACCCGGGUAGUCCCAUG
rnacentral:rRNA from 1 species